UCAUGGAAACGGCGAGGCGGAGCAUGGGGAGCCUUUUUGAGUGGGACCCGUUUGUUAUUGGAGGUCACGUGGCCAGUCGCUAGGGACAGAGGCACGUCCUGUACCUCGGAUUGAAGCGUCGCGAGCUGCUAUCACUAGUUUGAACAAAAUGGCUGCAGAGGCACCACUAACGAAAGCCCACUGAACGGUAGGAAUUAUCAUCGACGAUGUUUUAAUGGAUAUCUUGGAAAUACACCCUCUCCAAAUAUUGGAUUUUGCAAGAAUUUGCUCUCUUGGAUUCCUCUAUUUGCGAGCAUUUCACAGUCGCGUGCUGUAAAACAUAUUUUUUUGCACUUUAAAAAUGUCAGCUCAUCAAAGACAAGCCGAGAGAAGAAGCAGGGAACACGAGACCAGAACCAUUUGAUGGAAGAAAAGAAAAAGAGAAGGCAAGAAGAAAAGAAAAAGAAGGAAGCUGCUCAGAAAAAGGUCACUGAACAGAAAACCAAAGGUGCGUUCUCAUCUUUUCCAACAUUCUGCAACCACUCCUACCUCCUAUUACCUUAGACUGACUGAUUGAUUGAAAAGAGAGGGGGAUGGAGGGAGAAUGACAGUCGGAGCAACAGAGAAAGUGAGAGUAUGCACAGUGUGUGCUUAGCUGGCAGGGUUUUGAAGUGAAUUGAACCCAGAGCACUGUAGAUAGAACACAUCCUCUCACUUCCCUCUGUGCCAAAGCUCUUAAUGAGCGAGAGAGGAGGACUGGAGAGAGGGAGAGGACCUGUUAUGUGGUGUGACUGGCCAGAUGGGGCCGGGAGGGGCUUAUGUUUUGAGGGAUAGUCUCGAGGAAAGCUCAUUAGGGCAUCUGUUAAUGGUCCUGUAACGGCCAUCUAGCACUUAACAGGAGGUUGGGGAAGUGGGGGGUUUAAAGGUCAAGAUGAGGAAGGGACAUCUUAGUGUAAUAACCCUACAGGGUAUAGUAGGCUGCAGGACUGUAUCUACUGGAGCCUGUCUGUGCUGCUGAGCUGCAAUAAUGAGCAGUAAUCUGGGUUAGUUAGCUUUGUUAGCCUGUUUCCAUCCAGUUAGCUUUGUUAGCCUGUUUCCGUCCUGUUAGCCUGUUUCCGUCCUGUUAGCCUGUUUCCGUCCUGUUAGCCGUAAUCUGGGUUACGUAGUUUUCUUGGUUUGCAUGUUUCCACCAAGCCAUUUUGUAUGGCUGAAAAGUCCCCUGAAAGCUGGCUGUGACACAUUAGAAUGUGGUGUUGACUGUUGAGAGCAGGGUUAGUGUGAAGGUGCAGGAAUACGGGUAACAACAAGCAGGGAGAGGCCACCAGCGUAAUACUGCACGUUUCUACUGUGGUUGGAAUGGGGAGGCCCAACCUGGUCUGAUGGAGGAGGAGAAUAUAUAUACAUUUUUACAUUUUAGUCAUUUAGCAGACGCUCUUAUCCAGAGCGACUUACAGUAGUGAAUGCAUACAUUUCAUAUUUUUUUCUUCCCCAUACUGGUCCCCCGUGGGAAUCGAACCCACAACCCUGGCGUUGCAAACACCAUGCUCUACCAACUGAGCCCCAUAUGGGGGGUGGAUGGAGGAAUAGAGAGAUUGGGGUGAAAAAGGCAAAGGAAAUUCACCUGGCUUGUCACAAACAUAUAUUCCUGAGAAGGAAAUGACAGAAGUGAAAGAAAGGGUCUGAAGGAAAGAGACUGCAGGAACAAAGUACAUGAAAGAAACAGAGAGAGUAGAGUGAGAAAGUGAGUGAGAACACACUAGUUUCCUGUCUACAGUUUACACAUACAAUAAGCAGUGCACAUCAUCUAGAUCAACAUAAAAGGCACAUGUGUACACACACGGCUAAGGCAUACAGUACAUUCAUAUAAAUAAGUUCCCUCUGCCUCACCGACCUCCACGGGGACUGUGUGUAGUACAGGCACUCAUACAAACACAAUUAUAUCAAUGCAUAGGUCAACAGGCUUUUAUGAAUACAUUAGUACAAUCACAUGUGCAUCUGUAUAAACCAGGGAUAUUCAACAAUUACCCUACGAGGUCUGUCGCCUGCUGGUUUUCUGUUCUACCUGAUAAUUCAUUGCACACACCUGGUGUCCCGGGUCUAAUUCAGUCCCUGAUUAGAGGGAAACAAUGAAAAAACGCAGUGGACCUGGCUUUGAAGUCCAGAGGUUAGUUUGAAGGGGUCUAGACUGUCACAUAAAAAAGUUGACAAGUACACACACAGACCCACGUGUCCUUAUGUAUGGUUUCCAUCAGCCAGUCCCUAGCGUGAAAGCAGCACGUAUUGCCUUUGGUGAUCGUCUCCUACCUCUCUACAGUGUCUUCCUGACUGUGGCCUAGUUACAGCUCAUCAGCCUCUCUCCAUGCAGUUCUGGUUCAUAGCCAUUUCUCUGUCUCUAUAGAGCGAGAGGUAUUCUACCACUACCAUCUAGUGUUACAACACAGCCGUGCCUUAGUUUCUACCACCACUACCAUCUAGUGUUACAACACAGCCGUGCCUUAGUUUCUACCACCACUACCAUCUGGUGUUACAACACAGCCGUGCCUUAGUUUCUACCACCACUACCAUCUGGUGUUACAACACAGCCGUGCCUUAGUUUCUACCACCACUACCAUCUAGUGUUACAACACAGCCGUGCCUUAGUUUCUACCACCACUACCAUCUGGUGUUACAACACAGCCGUGCCUUAGUUUCUACCACCACUACCAUCUGGUGUUACAACACAGCCGUGCCUUAGUUUCUACCACCACUACCAUCUAGUGUUACAACACAGCCGUGCCUUAGUUUCUACCACCACUACCAUCUAGUGUUACAACACAGCCGUGCCUUAGUUUCUACCACCACUACCAUCUGGUGUUACAACACAGCCGUGCCUUAGUUUCUACCACCACUACCAUCUGGUGUUACAACACAGCCGUGCCUUAGUUUCUACCACCACUACCAUCUGGUGUUACAACACAGCCGUGCCUUAGUUUCUACCACCACUACCAUCUGGUGUUAAAACACAGCCGUGCCUUAGUUUCUACCACCACUACCAUCUAGUGUUACAACACAGCCGUGCCUUAGUUUCUACCACCACUACCAUCUGGUGUUAAAACACAGCCGUGCCUUAGUUUCUACCACCACUACCAUCUGGUGUUAAAACACAGCCGUGCCUUAGUUUCUACCACCACUACCAUCUGGUGUUAAAACACAGCCGUGCCUUAGUUUCUACCACCACUACCAUCUGGUGUUACAACACAGCCGUGCCUUAGUUUCUACCACCACUACCAUCUGGUGUUAAAACACAGCCGUGCCUUAGUUUCUACCACCACUACCAUCUGGUGUUAACCUGUUGGGUCUAGGGGGCAGCAUUUGCACGUCUGGAUAAAAAAAAUGUACCCGAUUUAAUCUGGUUACUAAUCCUACCCAGUAACUAGAAUAUGCAUAUACUUAUUAUAUAUGGAUAGAAAACACUCUAAAGUUUCCAAAACUGUUUGAAUGGUGUCUGUGAGUAUAACAGAACUCAUUUGGCAGGCAAAACCCUGAGACAUUUUCUGACAGGAAGUGGAUACCUGAUGUGUUGUAUUGACUUUAAACCUCUCCCAUUGAAAAACACAGGGGUUUAGGAAUAUUUUGGCACUUCCUAUUGCUUCCACUAGAUGUCACCAGCCUUUACAAAGUGUUUUGAGUCUUCUGGAGGGAGAUCUGACCGAACAAGAGCCAUGGAACGGUGAUGUCCCAUUAGACACCUGGCGCGCUACUUCAUGUUGGGUACCCUCGUUCCAAUACGUUAUAAAAGGCUAUGCAUUCGUCCACCUUGAAUAUUAUUCAUGUUCUGGUUAAAAAAGGCCCUAAUGAUUUAUGCUAUACAACGUUUGACAUGUUUGAACGAACGGAAAUAUAUUUUUUCCCCUCGUUCAUGACGAGAAGUCCGGCUGGCUUACAUCAUGUGCUAACGAGACGGAGAUUUUUGGACAUAAAUGAUGAGCUUUUUUGAACAAAACUACAUUCGUUAUGGACCUGUGAUACCUGGAAGUGACAUCUGAUGAAGAGAAUCAAAGGUAAUGGAUUAUUUACAUAGUAUUUUCGAUUUUAGAUCUCCCCAACAUGACGUCUAGUCUGUAUCGCAACGCGUAUUUUU
rnacentral:lncRNA from 8 species